GAUGUUUUUCAUGAAGAUGAACAGCAAACGAAAAAUUUAUAUAUGAUACAUGUUUUAGAUUUAAAUCAGAUUAUGCAUGUAUUUUUAUGUAUCCUAGAUCGCUAAAAUAUUAUAUUUGAUAUACUGUUUUGACAUACGAUCUAAAACUUAAUUUUUACAAAAUCUUAGAUCCAAAAUUCUAGAUUUUGUUUGCAUAAAACUGUGAUAGGUAUGCCUG
rnacentral:lncRNA from 1 species